GGGGCCUUAAUUGGUUUCGACGUGUUGGCGAAAGCUGUUGAGUGAUACAGGUCGAGAGUGAGUCUUCUCUCGUAAAUACCGGGCUCAAACAAAAAAGUAACUGCGAACAAAAUCGUUCCUUUCGCUCGUAAAGCAGCUCCUGUAGUUGCCUAAGAACCUCAUAUAGGUCCGAGCGUCUAUAGUUUGACUCCGUUAAGGACUAUAGACCUAACCCCAACGGAUGCUCUAGUAAGUCGUCUUUGGUAGACUUACUAGCUAAGAACCCACCAAAGCAUCCUAUCAUCCGGGAUAAAGGAUGGUUCCCGCCCUGAGGACUAGAAGGGCUAAGCCUGUGAAUGAGCGAUAGGUUAAUACCCAAGGCGGACACGGGUUCGACUCCCGUAGGCUCCAUUU
rnacentral:tmRNA from 1 species